rnacentral:tRNA from 1 species
GGGGAUGUAGCUCAGUCGGUAGAGUGCUUGCCUUGCAUGCAUGUGGCCCCUGGGUUCAAUCCCCAGCAUCACAA